rnacentral:lncRNA from 1 species
UUUUUUUUUUUUGAAAUUUUUUAAUUAUGAAUGCAUGGUAAAGGAACAAAAGAAAAAUCUUUUUGAUGUUUUUGAGAAAAUGAGUGCGAAAGGUAAAAAAAUCUUUUUGAAUUUUUGGAUUGUGAAAAACAAAAGCCAUAAAAAACUCUAAAAACUAUGAAACUCUUUUUUUUUUCGGCUCACUUUUUCUUUCUUUUUCCUCUCUUUUGUUUUUCUUGUCUAUACACUUUCUUUAAUUCUAGCACAUGCUUUCCCCAAAUCAGUCCGUCAAAUGACCCUGUUACCCUAAAAAAAAAUACAACAAUUAGUACGUAGGGAUGCUUUAGAGGAGAGUCUCCUACAAAGGACCAACUGGGCCCCACUAGAUCUCAAUAUGAUGCACAUAAGUAUGACCUAAAGGCUAACCUACGUUGGAGUUUACUAAUAUUUGGUCGAUAGUGGCUUCUUUGCUUUCCACCUACUCCAUACAUCCAACGGCUCUCCCUCCUAAAAUAAGGGUGACUCAACUAGAGUUUGUGCGCACGACGUCCACUCUGGGACUUGUUACAGAAAGAAUUGACUCGAGUUAUGUACAUGAUGCCAGAUAUAAAGCGGUAACACACAAGAGAAAAACUGUAAACAAUAGCACUCAAUAAUGAUAAAAUAAACAAUAAACGAUAACACAAACAAUGUUUAUACACUCAUAGUGUCAAAUUAAGCCGAUACAACUCCAAAAAUAAGCUUGAAUUCUGGAAAUUUACCAGCAGAGUCUCCAGAGCUGUCACACCCUCUUUUUAACUCCAAAAGAUUAGAUUUUAAGUUUCGAAAGGGUUUUUAUCAUUAAAGUGACAAAAUAAAGAUAAUUUAUUUCGAAAAGGAUUAUUAUUUUCAUUCAAACUUAGAGUCGUCAAUUGGCAUAAAUCGGGUGUGACAAGUCACCUUUGAAAAUCCUUUUUCAAAACGGUUUGACUCUAAAAUUGAUCCGCGAACAGAGAUUCUUGCUAAGAAAUUCUGUUGACCGAGGAAAAGGUGUUAGGUACCCCUCGUUCCCAUGGUUCGACCACGAUCACUUGGUAGAGCGUAUCGUCUAAUUUGACACUACGAAUGUAUAAAACACAUAACACAUAAAACAACCAAACCAAACAAACGAAAAAUUUAAAAGUUAAUGUCCAGUCCAAUUAUUACAAACUCAAAAUAAAAUAUAUAAAAUAAAUGCAAAAAAAAAUAAAAUCUAUUCUAACCUAUACUAAUUCUAACUAUGCUCUAUGCUUUACCCGACGCUUUGAGCCUUGAUCAUGAACCAUCUUCAAAUACAUAAUACGUCGGGGCAUUUCCCGAUGACUAAAUACAUAAAACCUCGGGGCAUUUCUCGACCAAAUGGAUACACUUGAAUCAGAUAUGAUAAACUAGAAAAACAUUCAACACAUAUUCCACAUUCAAACAUUCGAUCAAAAAAAACCUUAGUCCUAAAUUUGUCUACCCGAACCUACAUUGGCCUAUUAAUUUCAACAUAUUAUAAUUAUAUCACGUUCUGACAAUAUUCAUGCUUAUUUCAAAUUUAAACAAAACAACAAUACACCAAAAUUGAUCGAUAUUCACCCAUUUUUGCAAAUUUCUCAAUUUCUCCCUAAAUUCCUUUUUAACACUAAUUUUCCUUAAUUCACGAUGUCUAUUUCAAUGAAAUUAAGCAACAAGUUAAUAUCAAAGUAGCCAUUCAUUACCAAUCAAGAUCAAACAACACACAGAUUUCAUCCAAUGCACCAUAUUCCAUCAACAAUGAAAUAAAAAGAGGAAAGGAGUAGAAAUAGGCCUCAAUGAUAAAUUUAUUCCAAAUAUCAGUCAAUUGAGAGGAUGAAUCCGCAUGCCGAAGAACCCCGACUCAGCCUCGACAACUCGACCAACUCGAUAUCAAAAAUUACGAUCCGAAUAGAUUUGAAUCCAAGACCACAAACUCAAUAUAUACUGCCUAACCAACUAAUUUUAACAAAAUCCAUAAACCCCCCAAAGAUGAAAUUCCGAUCUCAAAAUCCAAGAGCCAAAUAAACUCAGAUUGAAACAAAUCGACGACAGAUGGCAAUCCGACACUAGACGGAUGACAAGAAAACCUUAAAAUGAUCGACACCAUCUCAGUAUCAUAACCCAAUGACUCGAACAGAAAUCAAACAUACAAAAAUCGUGAUGAAGAAAGACAGACUAGUCGAGUUUGGAUCGAAUUUGGGGUAUUCUCGAUAGUCACGGUGCUCUGGUGGUUCAGAGGCGGCGGGAUGGUGUAUGACGGUUGGUGGGUGUAUCAGGCUCACUAGUGGCGCCGGAUUCCGGCGAAGUUUCGCCAGAAAAUUGGAGUGGCGUGACCGGUUUCUCUCCCCGUCCUUCUCUAAAUGGCCGAGCUCUCUCUCACUCGAACUUUGAUCCCUCGAUCUGUCUUAUUUCAGGCCAACUCACUCAUCUCUCUUUUCUUUUUGAUUUCCCUCCAUAUGUGUGUGUAACCUAUCUCUCAGUGAGUGUGCGUAUGGUCUACCGAAAAAAUGGAGUGUGUGUUCAUGGUUUUUUCCAUUGAUGAUGCUGGUUGUGUUUUUUAUAGAAAAAAAUGGCUACUGUGUGUUUCUAGUGGUGGACCCCGCCUGGGAUUGUCUAGAAUCUGAUGGAUAAUCUCUAUGUAUUUAUUUUGUGUAGUGGGGAAAAAGAAAUGUGCCAAGGGUGGGGUAUGCGGGUAUGGGAUUAGGGAGGUGGGUAGGGUAGUGGUGAGGUGUAAACAAUUAGUUAGGAUAAGAUUAAAUUUGUUAUGGAUUUAAUUACUUUUGUAUUUUUGUGGGGUGUUAUCACAUGGGUGAGGGUAUGUAGUAAGGUGAGCUAAAAAUGAAAAAAAUUCAAUUUUGAGAGGGACAAAAUUAGAUGUCUACAAAUAGUCUCUAGAUUUAAGUUAAUCAUGAUCUUUGGCUUAUUAUGUUUAUCACUCUCUUUUGCCUUGCCCUAAUGUCUAUUUUGGAACAUGAGCAUUGUUGAAAGGAUGUUUUGAUUAGUUUGUUGUCAUUACAUGUUUAAGGAUUUGUACAUUUAUUGCCUGCUUAUGAAUGAGUUUUUAUUGCAUCGUGUGUUUUACAUCAACUCAAUAAAUGCAUUAGAAUGAGGGGAAGUUUUAUACACAAGCCUUUGUUCUUGUGUACAGAGAAUUUUGGGUGGCAUACUAUCAGGCAAGUUGGUGACUGUUGGGGGAUUUUAGAGUACUUGAAAAGUAAUUAAUAAUAACGAUUUAGUUCCUUGGAUGAUUACCAAAUUUAUGAACAAUAUUUUAUCAAAGUUACUUUUGUUUUUUAGAACGAUGAAAUCGCUCAACUUAUGGGAAUGUUCUAUCAAAGUCACUUUAGGAAAGCCUUUAUCUUGAAAUUAAUUCAUCAAGUUGGUGAUAAAAUCCAUUAGUUAGUACAGUAUAGUAAUAAUAUUGUAAGGAGUUAUGUGGCGUGAGGUAUAAAGUAUAAUAAUUUCGGAGUAAAAUUUAGGAUUAUUUUAUAUUUGUUGGAGUUAUUAGUUAGUCCCGAAAUUACUUAUCCCACCAUUUAUGCAUUAGUGAUGGGAUAAAUUCUUACAUAUCCAUGGUGAGAUAACUUAUCCCAAGAUAGCUAAUCUCAGGAUAACUUGUUCCCAACCAAAUGAAUAGUUUCCCGAGGUAGAACCAUCUUCGACCAUUGGAAAGAGAGAAACCGACCGGCUUCCUACUAAUUGUUACUCUAAUCCUUGACUUGGAUGCUCUUCUAUCUAGUAUUAUGUCCAUUAUGUUAUGUACAAUCACCUCCGGUCAAUUCAUCGGUCUAGCACUUCCUGUCCUAAGACCUAUUACUAUCAACUUCUUGCACCUCCUCACUAGAGAAUAUGUGCUCCUCUUCACAUGUAUGAACCAUCUCAAUGUGGCGUUCUGCAUCUUGUCCAUCACCGAAAAGCCACUCCUACCUUGUCAUGUGUAUCUUGUUACUGAUAUCAUCAUGUCCUGACAGAUAUUGAAACUUUUGUCUGCUUAUAACACAAGUAAUUUUGUUACUUUGUUAUUUUAUGAAAACAUGAAAAGUUCCAAGUUAAAAUUCAUCAGGCCUGAUAGCUUAAACUUGCUAUUUCAUAACAUUAACAUUAAGCUAACAGCGAUUUGGCUAAACUUAUAAGUUGAUCAAAUACAUUUAUAAACAUCUUUGAGCUUAUUUAUGCAUCUGGUAAACAUUCGAAAUAUUUAUAAGCAAAGUACUAUAAACCAAAAUUAAGUUGGC